UUUAGAGAGCAGGCAUUCUUUAAUUGCGGCGCCGGAUGCACAGGGGAUCACUCCACAUGGUGUGCGCGAUGAAUUGUCCAGGCUACAGGGGUUAUGUACAGUCAAAGCAUAUGUAUUCAUUCGUUUUCCAAAAAUAAAAAAUAAAAAAUUAAUAUAUGCACGUUAUUUCCGAGAACUCGUUUAAGUAAGCACGCGUGUUUGCUUCUGCUGGUGGUCUUUCAGGUUCUUCCCAUGUUCGUUGCUGGGGGUGUUUAAGGAAAGGUUGGAUGUGGUGCUUAGGGACAUGGUUCAGGGGGUGACAUUGGUGGUAGGGGGAUGGUUGGACCAGAUGAACUUGAAGGUCUUUUCCAACCUUAAUGAUUCUAUGAUAGUCAACUUAGGCAUGCAUGCUAAGCUAGGUCAUACAGACAUCCAAGGACUUGCAUACCACGAGUUCCUCACCUAUCUUUUCAGACACAUCCUCCAGCCUUGGGUCAUCAUUAACACACAGAGAGCUUCUAAACUUCUUUUUAACUAAACAUAGUAAAGGUUUGGCCUCUCUGUUCAUAAAACAUCCCAGAUUUGGCUCCGUUAUUCUAUCAGCGAGAGAUCCGUCCGUCAGCCCGGGGUGCGCAGCGAGGGCGGGCGGCCGGCCCCGGGGGAGGCGCUGGGGGUGGUGCUGAGGCGGCCCGGUGUCCCCCGGCACCAGCACCGCCACGCCCCGGGGGUACAAAGAGCCGGGGUGCUGAGCCCGGAGCCGCCAUCUGGUGGUGGAGGAAGAGGAGGAGGACGAGGGGGUGCUGGGGGCCGGUGUGUGAGACACAGAUGUUGCUGCGGGAUUGAUCACAGGUGUGGAGCACAGACAACCUCUGCAAGAACCAUCUUCUUCGAGACCAGAGGACUAAUGACAUCUGUCUGCGAACUGACGGUCCUUGCUGGGAUGAGGUACUCGGACAGCCAGACAGCAUGCAGAAGGACGCCGAGAAACCGGAAAGCAGACAACAAAUUGCAAGUUGAUGGAUCACCCUAGAAAAUAAGGAACUGUUAGAAUCAGAGACCAAUAGCAAAUUGUUGACUGUACAUUAUUGGUAUGACAUUUACACGGAUGGGUCACCAAAAGCUAAUGCUAUGCAGCAUGUGAUCACAUAAUCCUGUACUUGCUACUGGUUAUGACAGCAUUGUCCUUUAUCCUUCUGUACAUGCUCUGCUUCUUUCAAAAGGAAGGAGCGCACCGACAUGCCCAGGUGAACAUCUCACAUACGCUGCUGUCCUAACCGCCGUGGUGGUUUCCAGCCGGAAGGGAUUGAGCUUACGAGCAUCCAGAGUGGUCUGCACGUCCUUGGAGAAGGUCAGUCAGGCCAGGGGGUGACUUGUGAGUGAGAAGUCCCGCUGGAGCACACGGCCCUGGCAGCGAGUGGCCUAGGGCAGUGCAUGGCCGAAGUGUGGAAAACAGGCACUUCUGCUGCAGCUCUCGGGUGUGUGAGCUGCCAGACAAGGUCUUGCUAGUGCUUGGUUUGAGCUUGCAGAAGGAUCAAGGCUAAAGUGGAGUAGUUGUGUCUAAUAAUUAAAUGAAGAUAAACCCAGUGGGAAAACAACCAGGCGAGGGGGGACAUGAGGAGCCGGGCUGCCUGCAGCAGGUAUCCCCGUCUGUAGCACUGUAUAAGGCUGUGCUUGCCUCAGUAAUGGUGUCAUGAAAAAUACAUUUAGGUAUGGCGAUAGCAAAACUGGGACCAGUGGGGAGAAAGUUGGGGGCAGGCUGUUUAUUUAGGAGGGAUUCGGGUGGGGGAGAGGCAAUGCGAGGGUGACAAA
ensembl:lncRNA